UUAAGGAUAGUUUAACUUAAAAUAUUAAAUUGUCAGUUUAAAGAAAUUAUAAUUAUUAAUUCCUUAAU
rnacentral:tRNA from 1 species